AAAUUUACAGUGUAUUUUCAAGUUACCGUGUAGUUUAUGAUACUUGCAUUGUAACUUUUAUAUGUUUUUUUGUAAUUUUUAAAAUUUAUAUUGGACUUGGUUUUUUUUCUUAAAAUAUGGUAAUUUAGUGUCCAUUAUGGUAUUUCUUAAUUGUUUUUUUACCUUUUACAGUGGCUAUUG
rnacentral:snRNA from 1 species